UACGUAGGGUGCAAGCGUUGUCCGGAAUUAUUGGGCGUAAAGAGCUCGUAGGCGGUUAGUUACGUCGGCUGUGAAAACCUGGGGCUCAACCCCGGGCCUGCAGCCGAUACGGGCUGACUAGAAUUCGGUAGGGGAGACUGGAAUUCCUGGUGUAGCGGUGAAAUGCGCAGAUAUCAGGAGGAACACCGGUGGCGAAGGCGGGUCUCUGGGCCGAUACUGACGCUGAGGAGCGAAAGCAUGGGUAGCGAACAGG
rnacentral:rRNA from 1 species